rnacentral:lncRNA from 1 species
UUUUUAUCUGGGUUUGUGAGAAGAAAGAAGAUGAAUUCCACGGACUCAAGCAGGGCAGUAUAUCAAUUAGUGUCUAUGUUGCCAAGUUUGUGCAGUUUUCCAUAUUUAUACCAGAGUUAGUCUCCACUAAGGCCGAGAGGGCCUGGUGUCUUUUAAAGGGCCUAAAAAUUAACAUAUAUGAUCGUGUGGCUAUAUUCAUGCCAACUACUUAUGCAAAGGUAUUGGACAAUGCAGAAAUGGUAGAAGAGUUACUUG